rnacentral:scRNA from 1 species
UAUAUCCCGAAUCCGUGGUUGACAAUGGUGAU